AUGGACGACUCUUCAACUAGGAGCCAUGUUUCUGAGGGGAAUCGGCUGGGCUAUGUAAGAAGUGAAUCCAUGGAUUCCGCUGGCCAUCCUUCGGCUGCUAGGUCAGGCUCACUGCUAAGCAGGAGAAGUAGCAGGCCCAGUUCAAGGGGAUCCAUUAGCCUCUCUCGCGAGAUGGGCGACUCGAUCCUCAACUCAAUGAGGCAUUCCCUUCAGUCAGCAGACCAGUUGCUAGGUGAUGCUGAUGGCUCGGCUUUGGCUCAGGUCAUUGACAGUGGUGACCGAGUGCUAGCCUUGGAAGAUGAGGAUGAUGAAGAUACGGCAAAUACAUUGGAUCAACAUAAGUUCGGUCCUGUCCGAGAUAAUCGAAUCCAUGGCUACAGCUCACAUGGCACAGGUCUGCCAGCACCUGAGUCUUCUGUGGAGCCAAAGGGCGAGAGCUCAUCAGGCAAGGUUGAAGAAUAUAUGCUUUCUCGGAGGCUAGAUUACGCUUCUUACCUGAUCCAUUUAGCUGCCUUUGGGUUAUUUGGGGUAUUUACAAGGUAUGGGCUCCAAAAGCUGUUCGGCCCAGGCUGCCUGGCACUCACCUCCAACCAAAGCCCGUUGUACCUUGAUCUUCCAUCAAACAUGCUAGGAUCCUUCCUGAUGGCCUGGUUUGGGAUCAUCUUUAAGACUGACAUUCGGCACAUAUCUGAACAUCUCAUUGUUGGAAUCACAACCGGAUACAUGGGAAGCCUUACUACCUUCAGUGGGUGGAAUCAAGCGAUGGUUAGCAUGUCUUCCAAAGACCAUUGGGCAUAUGCCAUAGCUGGCAUAGUAUUAGGAAUGUUCAUCGUCAAUGAGUCCAUCAGGGUGGGCGCCGAAACAGGUGAGCGCCUACGAAGCUGGAUCCUGAAAUGCAUCAAGGAAAAUAGUUCAAUAGGAAGCAAAUGUAACUGGGAGCACCUGAAAGUCAACACUAGGACUAAACAUUUUGUGCUUAUAGCAGUUAUGAUGAUUUUGCUUUCUUUUGUGUGGGUUCUGAGCAUCGUGUUGGCCAUAAUAAAGGUGCGCAAUCUUGAUGAUGGCGCUGUACUAUGGUUGGGGUGCUCGGUUGCGCCUCCGGGCGUUUGGUUACGCUGGUACUUGGCAAGGCUCAAUGGCCAGGGAAUCGGCAAACAGAGAUCCCUCAAAUGGCUGCCCAUCGGGACACUUGUAGCCAAUGUUCUUGCUGCGGGUAUCAUGGCAUCACUGGCCGUGACUGCCAAAGCGGUGAAUACAAAGCGUUCGACAACUGUUCUUAAUGGCAUACAGUUUGGUUUCCUCGGCUGCUUGAGCACAGUGUCUACUUUUGCUGCUGAAAUCUACGCUAUGCGAAGCAGCAGACAGAUUGGUAGGGCCUUUGUCUAUGCUGCAGCGACCUUCGUGCUCUCUUUCGUGCUGGGAACUCUGGUAUACUCUGUGCCAGUAUGGGUCAAGCAUUACCAAUAG
rnacentral:rRNA from 1 species